CGGUAAUUCCAGCUCCAAUAGCGUAUACUAAAGUUGUUGCAGUUAAAAAGCUCGUAGUUGGAUUUCUGCGGGGACGGAGCGGCCGGACGCAACUUGCGUCUCGAGCUAGCGCUUUCCCCGCAUCCUGCCGCGAGCCGUGCUACCAUUAGUUUGGUGGCGCUGGGGAUCGGCUCGAUUACUUUGAGAAAAAUAGAGUGUUCAAAGCAGGCCACACGCCUUGAAUAAGUUAGCAUGGAAUAAUGACUAAGGACUUCGGUUCUAUUUUGUUGGUGUUCGGGACUGAAGUAAUGAUUGAUAGGGACAGUUGGGGCGGUCUGUAUUCCAAAGCGAGAGGUGAAAUUCUUAGACCUUCGGAAGACAAACAGCUGCGAAAGCGUUCCGCAAGGAUGUUCCCUUUGAUCAAGAACGAAAGUUGGGGGAUCGAAGACGAUCAGAUACCGUCGUAGUCUCAACUAUAAACUAUACCAGCUAGGGAUCGGCCAACGUUUAAUUAUUCGACUUGGUCGGCACCUUAUGAGAAAUCAAAGCAUCUGGGUUCCGGGGGGAGUAUGGUCGCAAGGCUGAAACUUAAAGGAAUUGACGGAAGGGCACCACCAGCCGUGGAGCCUGUGGCUUAAUUUGACUCAACACGGGAAAACUUACCAGGUCCAGACAUAGGAAGGAUUGACAGAUUGAUAGCUCUUUCUUGAUUCUGUGGGUGGUGGUGCAUGGCCGUUUUUAGUUGGUGGAGUGAUUUGUCUGCUUAAUUGCGUUAACGAACGAGACCCCAGCCUGCUAAAUAGCGCGGCCGAGCUUUGCUCGGUGCGAGCUUCUUAGAGGGACCAUGAUGCGCGAUAGCACAAGGAAGUUUGGGGCAACAACAGGUCUGUGAUGCCCUUAGAUGUUCUGGGCCGCACACGGGCUACACUGGCGCCUGCAACGAGCAUAUCAGCUGGCCCGAGAGGGUCUUGGCUAAUCUUUUGAACCGGCGCCGUGCUAGGGAUUGACCAUUGCAAUUGUUGGUCAUGCAACGAGGAAUGCCUUGUAAACGCGGGUCAUCAGCUCGCAUUGAAUACGUCCCUGCUCCUUGUACACACCGCCC
rnacentral:rRNA from 1 species